AUUGAACGCUGGCGGCAUGCCUAACACAUGCAAGUCGAACGGCAGCACAGUAAAGACUUCGGUCUUUAUGGGUGGCGAGUGGCGGACGGGUGAGUAACGCGUAGGAAUCUGUCCUGGAGGAUGGGAUAACACGAGGAAACUCGGGCUAAUACCGCAUGAUAUCGAGAGAUCAAAAGCAGGGGACCCUUCGGGGCCUUGCGCUCUAGGAUGAGCCUACGUCGGAUUAGCUAGUUGGUGGGGUAAAGGCCUACCAAGGCGACGAUCCGUAGCUGGUCUGAGAGGAUGACCAGCCACACUGGGACUGAGAAACGGCCCAGACUCCUACGGGAGGCAGCAGUGGGGAAUCUUGGACAAUGGGGGAAACCCUGAUCCAGCGAUGCCGCGUGUGUGAAGAAGGCCUUCGGGUUGUAAAGCACUUUAGUUGGGGAAGAAAAGUAAUAAGUAAAUUAUUUAUUGCUCUGACGAUACCCAAAGAAUAAACACCGGCUAACACUGUGCCAGCAGCCGCCGUAA
rnacentral:rRNA from 1 species